UGGACAAAAAAUCUGUUUCUUUUCUCUUCACGCACAACAACAAUUCUACAAUAAAGUAUAGAGCAUGUUUAUCUAUUAUAAAUCUGCAUGAAACCUGAAUACUUAUAAUAAGAUUGAAUUGACACAGAAUAAAUGUGCAAAAACGAAAUGCUUGUGGUUGCCAAAUUGGUUGAACAGGGACAAAAAUCCCAAUCUUAAAACCUGAAAGCACGGAGAGUAUAAAGUUAGAAAAAAAAUAUCUCAAUUACUUCAACCAUUUGCUCAGUCAUGCACGGUUAAAUCGGCCUAACUAAAUCAUGCAUGCAGUGCUGACUAAAUCAUGCAUGCAGUAAAGCUAUCUCGUUAUAUAUAUUCCUACUUGCAGGUUCCAGUUCCACGCCCAUCCCAAACUUUUCUGCUCAUACACAAGCACAAUCCUACUCAUAUCUGAUACAAGUUCUUGUUCAUACACAUCACAGUUUUCGAUGGAUAUCGGCCAUGCCAACAUCGGAGACAUACACUUCAAUGGAGCAAAGAGGAUAAUCUAUGUCUGGUAAGUCAUUUGUUUAAUUAUUAAUAGUUAUUAUAUAAUGAAAAGGUUGGCCUAACAAUAUUUUAUGAAUUGAGCAGGUAAAUGCUUGGUUAAAUGUUCCCGCUGAUUUUGUUGUCGGCAAUGAAAACGGUGCACGGGAUUACUGGAAUCAAGUCGCUGACGAAUAUAACGCAAAUACCGCCGAUAAUCGAAGAAGACAACCUAUCCAAAUCAGACGACAUUGGGGUAAGAUGAGCUCUGAAAUUCUACUAUUCGAUGGCAUGUGGCGCAAGGUCAACGAUGCAUUCGCAGCUGUUGGACAAUAUAGCCAGGACUUAGUUUCCAAAUCUCUAGAGAUGUAUAGGUU
rnacentral:lncRNA from 1 species